UACGAGGGGAGCAAGCGUUGUUCGGAUUUACUGGGCGUAAAGGGCGCGUAGGCGGCCCGGUAAGUCAAAGGUGAAAUCCCUCGGCUCAACUGAGGAACUGCCUUUGAAACUGUCGGGCUUGAGGCCGGGAGGGGGUAGCGGAAUUCCCAGUGUAGCGGUGAAAUGCGUAGAUACUGGGAGGAACACCAGUGGCGAAGGCGGCUACCUGGACCGGUUCUGACGCUGAGGCGCGAAAGCGUGGGUAGCAAACAGG
rnacentral:rRNA from 1 species